rnacentral:lncRNA from 1 species
CCUGCAGUAAGCCACUCUUCCUUAUUUUGCUGCCUAAUUUCAAGCUUCUUAGAUCUACCUCGCUUCAUUCCCUGUCGGAAUGGUGACUGGGAAGGGAAGCACAACAAUAACGCCUUUUUCCUUUUUUCUCCCGAUUAGACGAAAGACAUGUUAGGGCUGUAUCCGAAACAUUUUUGAACUGCCGGCCCGACAACCAAGCCUAUAACCGACAAUAAGAGGUCAAGUUGAGACAUACAAAGGCGCCAGUGAAGAGCUUAAAAUCAGUACAAGGGCUGCUA